rnacentral:rRNA from 1 species
GUAGGGAAUAUUGCGCAAUGGGGGAAACCCUGACGCAGCGACGCCGCGUGAGUGAUGAAGGCCUUCGGGUCGUAAAGCUCUGUUGUAGGGGAAUAAAAAAAUGAAGGUACCCUGUGAGGAAGGAUCGGCUAACUUCGUGCCAGCAGCCGCGGUAAGACGAGGGAUCCUAGCGUUGCUCGGAAUCAUUGGGCGUAAAGAGGGCGUAGGUGGCUUGGUAAGUCAGGUGUGAAAGCCCAGGGCUCAACCCUGGAAGUGCAUUUGAUACUGCUGAGCUUGAGUGUCGGAGAGGUUACCGGAAUACCUGGUGUAGUGGUGAAAUACGUAGAUAUCAGGUGGAACACCGGAGGCGAAGGCGGGUAACUGGACGAACACUGACACUGAGGCCCGAAAGCGUGGGGAUCAAACAGGAUUAGAAACCCGGGUAGUCC